rnacentral:piRNA from 1 species
AAGUCUGUAACAUCGCACAUCGGA